AAAGCACUCAUCCCAGCUCCUGCACCUGUCUGUCUGCAUGUUUCCCCCUCUUGUAAGGGGUUUGAGUACAUGGUGGCCAAGCAAACAGGCCACACCCUUGUUGCAAGUCCCGCGAGAGGUUCAGAGAACUCUCCCGUUUCACUCCUGCCUCAGGCCUCAGCCACCACAGUAAGUGGAACUCUAUACCUCCACCUCGCCUGGCUGGGUGGAGCCUCUAAACUCAGGAUUCUGCCUUGAGCUGUGGCUCUCCCCUCAGGUUGACAGGGUCCAGAGCAAAACCUACGGAAGAAGCUGCAGAGGCCAGGUGGAGGGAAGGAUGCUGAACUGGAGGAGGCCAGGAAAUUAUGAGGUGAUUCUAAGCACAUUAAAAUCUGGAUGACACUUAUCUGAAUCAUUUCGCAACUUGGAGAGAGAUGGAGAAGACACGCAUGGUGUAACUGGGCAUCACCAGAAUGUGCACUGCCAUCUGUGGCUGUCUUCCUGCUGGCAAAUCCUUUUCAUUCCAAGCAAAUAAGAUUCCCUAAAUUAGACAAAAAGGAAGAAACACAACAGAGUCCAUAAUUCUGAGAGGAAGAGAAGAGUGAUCAUCAGCAGCAAAAGGCAAUUGCAGAGAAGCACCACCAAGAGCCAGCUUCAUGCUCAGGAGUGAAUGCUGAGCCGCCUCCUCGUGGUUUCCGGUGCUCCACAUGUUCAGAGAAACUUCUCUGCUGGCAGAGAGAAGAGAAGCAGCUGGACGUUGGUGACUAUGGUUAGACAUUGGAGAGAAGCAGCUUCACUUCAGAGGGACAGCUUGACACGUAACAUCAGAGAAGAAUCUGGCCAGAGAUGGCUGGACUUCAGGAGAAGAUUACCUUCCCUCUCCAUCCCCUUUUCAACUUCCCUUCCUGCUGAGAGCCACUUUCAUCGGCAAUAAAAAUCCCCUACAUUUGUCAUCCUUCAAUUUGUGUGAUGUCAUUUCUCCUGGAUGUGGGACAAGAGCUCGGAUGCUGCUAGUGUGGCUACAAAAGGCUGUCACACUUGCCCUUUGUACUCACUGGCAGAAGGCAGCCAGCUUACGUGAAAAGCCAC
rnacentral:lncRNA from 10 species